rnacentral:misc_RNA from 1 species
GAUGAAGAACGUAGCGAAAUGCGAUACUUGGUGUGAAUUGCAGAAUCCCGUGGACCAUCGAGUCUUUGAACGCAAGUUGCGCCCGAAGCCAUCAGGUUGAGGGCACGUCUGCCUGGGCGUCACAUAUCGUUGCCCAAUGCCUAUUGCAGUGCAAUAGGAAUUUCUAGGGCGAAUGAUGGCUUCCCGUGAGCGUUGUUGCCUCGCGGUUGGUUGAAAAUCGAGUCCUUGGUAGGGUGUGCCAUGGUAGAUGGUGGUCGAGUUAGAACGAUACCGAUCAUGUGCAUGCUCCCCAAAAUAUGGCCUCUAUGACCCACACGCGUCUUUUGACGCUCAUGACGAGACCUCAGGUCAGGCGGGGCUACCCGCUGAAUUUAAGCAUAUCAAGAAGCGGAGGA